AUUGAACGCUGGCGGCAGGCCUAACACAUGCAAGUCGAGCGGAUGAAGGGAGCUUGCUCCUGGAUUCAGCGGCGGACGGGUGAGUAAUGCCUAGGAAUCUGCCUGGUAGCGGGGGAUAACGUCCGGAAACGGGCGCUAAUACCGCAUACGUCCUGAGGGAGAAAGUGGGGGAUCUUCGGACCUCACGCUAUCAGAUGAGCCUAGGCCGGAUUAGCUAGUUGGUGGGGUAAAGGCCUACCAAGGCGACGAUCCGUAACUGGUCUGAGAGGAUGAUCAGUCACACUGGAACUGAGACACGGUCCCGACUCCUACGGGAGGCAGCAGUGGCGAAUAUUGGGCAAAGGGCGAAAGCCUGAUCCAGCCAUGCCGCGUGUGUGAAGAAGGUCUUCGGAUUGUAAAGCACUUUAAGUUGGGAGGAAGGGCAGUAAGUUAAUACCUUGCUGUUUUGACGUUACCAACAGAAUAAGCACCGGCUAACUUCGUG
rnacentral:rRNA from 1 species